rnacentral:tRNA from 1 species
AAGAAAGUGACAGAGUGGAUUUGUGUUUAGCUUGAAACUAAUUUACGGAGGUUCAAUUCCUUCCUUUCUCG